UACGUAGGGUGCGAGCGUUGUCCGGAAUUAUUGGGCGUAAAGGGUGCGUAGGCGGUCGGGUAAGUCUGAUGUGAAAUCUUCAAGCUUAACUUGGAAACUGCAUCGGAUACUAUUCGGCUAGAGGAAUGGAGGGGAGACUGGAAUACUUGGUGUAGCAGUGAAAUGCGUAGAUAUCAAGUGGAACACCAGUGGCGAAGGCGAGUCUCUGGACAUUUCCUGACGCUGAGGCACGAAAGCCAGGGGAGCAAACGGG
rnacentral:rRNA from 1 species